rnacentral:rRNA from 1 species
AUAACGCGUACACAACCUACCUUAUACUGGGGGAUAGCCCUGGGGAAACUAGGAUUAAUACCCCAUAACAUUACGAAAAGGCAUCUUUUUGUAAUUAAAGAAUUUCGGUAUAAGAUGGGUGUGCGUCUGAUUAGCUAGUUGGUGAGGUAACGGCUCACCAAGGCAACGAUCAGUAGCUGGUCUGAGAGGAUGAUCAGCCACACGGGCACUGAGACACGGGCCCGACUCCUACGGGAGGCAGCAGUAGGGAAUAUUGGACAAUGGAGGCAACUCUGAUCCAGCCAUCCCGCGUGAAGGAUUAAGGUCCUAUGGAUUGUAAACUUCUUUUCUCUGGGAAUAAAAAGCGGUAUUCAUAUCGCCCUGAAGGUACCAGAGGAAUAAGCACCGGCUAACUCCGUGCCAGCAGCCGCGGUAAUACGGAGGGUGCAAGCGUUAUCCGGAUUCACUGGGUUUAAAGGGUGCGUAGGUGGUUUUGUAAGUCAGUGGUGAAAGCCCGGAGCUUA